rnacentral:lncRNA from 1 species
AACACAAGCAAGAGGUCGAGAGCGGGGGAAGGGGCCCCGAGCUGAGGAGGGCGGGCAGCUUCUGGAAGCCGAAAGAGGCGGAGAAGUGGAUUCCCUUCUAGGACCUCUGUAAGGAGCCGGCCCUGCCAGCACCAUGACGGUCACCCCAUGAGACCCCUUUUCGACUUCUGACUCCAGAGCUGUGAGAUAGUACCUUUGUGAUGUAACUUUAAGGCUCUUAGCUGGUGAUAAUUUGGUUCAGCCACCACCAAAAACCAACCCACUCCUUCCUCUCCUUGGAGUGUCUUGCUCACUCUUAAUUGCCCAUCCCUUUAUCCUGCCCUGUCUUUUCCUGCAUCACUCAUCACCUUCCCACAAAACCGGGUUAUUACCCUGUGUGUCAGGUGAGUUUAGUGUCUGUGUGUUUCUUUCAAAGCUUUGUUGGAGUCUAAGGGACCCUGUUGUUCUCUAAGCCCAGCCUCUUCUUUUCAUGCAAGGUGAAGGUGACCUUGGGGGAGAGGGGUCUUGCUCCAAGGUACGAUGUGAUGUGGUAGUUUCUAGAGCCCCCAGGGGUCAGACCUGCUGGUGCUUUCCUCUCCGGCAACUCUUUGGGGCUCCUCCUCCCCACCCCACCCCCGGGGGCAGCAGGACCUCGCUCAGGGCGGGUGCUUAGAACGUGAAGGCUGGGAAUCACUCCUGGCAGAGGGAUGGGUGGGUGAGGCAAGAUCUUAAAGGAAACCAGGAGGUUCUCCCCAGGGAGGAGGCUGGGAAGCGUGCGUGCGUGGAGGGUGGGGUGUUUGGAAGACGGAAAGGAAGACUAAGAAAGUUCCCAUCGUGGCUCAGUGUGAUGCCUGAAGAUGUGAGUUCAAUCCCUGGCCUCGCCCAGCGGGUUAAGGAUCCAGCAUUGCCAUGAGCUGUGGUGUAGGUUGCAGACGUGGCUCAGGUCCCACGUUGCUGUGGCUGUGGAGUAGGCCGGCAGCUGUAGCUCCGAUUUGAUGCCUGGCCUGGGAACCUCCAUAUGCCAUGGUGCGGCCCUAAAAAGACAAAAAAAAUAAAACAUCAGUGAUGGGCGAGCCGGUGGGGCAGGAGUCGUGUGGCCACCCUGGGCACCGCAGGCUUGAGCUCCCCCAAACGGCGGGGUGCCUGGCCAAGGAGAAGCAAAGAAGGAUAAGGGAGCCCUUCUUUCAGGAGGGUCUGAGGUUUGCUUCCCAGGACACAGCUGUAGGCUGUAAAGGGUGACCAGUUGGCUAUUAGGAAGACUCCUUCCUGCCCCCUUCUCCGGAGGGGGUGGACACAUUUUGAAAAACUUCCUGAGCUGGGGAGGGGACGUGACAUUUUGCCCCCUCUCCCCAGACUGCUGAUGAAGUGCAGUUAGUGAUGAGCUUACAGCUGUGUUUUUGCGCCGCUCCCCCCACCCCCAGCCUGUGCANNNNNNNNNNNNNNNNNNNNNNNNNNNNNNNNNNNNNNNNNNNNNNNNNNNNUGGCGGGUGACUCACUCUUGUGCAACAGCCCAGGCGCUCCAAGACGAGCUGGUUUCCUCCGUGCCAUGAGCUCCCUUCCUGAUUUAUGUCUUUCCAUUUGGGUUAAUGCUUUCCACAUUUGGGUCUGAAAAUUAGUGUGUGGCUCAUUGCUGCAACCACCAAAACCCCAGUGCCCAGCCUGGGUCUGGCACAGAGAAGCCAGUCAGCCGGCGAGCCAGCCAGACAAGCCAGAGGGCGGCUUAGAACUUUACCUGGAGGCUGUCUGGCCUCCAGCCGGCCUCCCUGCCUCCAGGAGGGAGGCACAGAGAAGCAUGCAGCCCCCGCUCCCAGCUCACCUGCUUGCUGUGAAGGGGACACAGCUUGGAGGGGUGUGCAGAGGUAACUGCUCGAGCCUGUGGCUUCUCAUCGAAGAAGCUGUGUCGGGAAGUGAGAGGCACACGUCGCAGGGCGUGGAGAAGCCUUUUAUCUCUGUGGCUUUGAAAGCCGAAAGCCACAUACUGCACGUUGUGUGUGUGUGUUUCUCUUUUUCUUUGGGGAACAAUAAUAUUACCUUCGUUGCCAUGGUGUUGUUGUGGGGGUGGCUAAUUGGACACAGACCUGAUACAGGCUGGUGGCUGGUGUCCAUAGUGAUUAUCGGACGCAGCCGUGGGACUCGCUUGCAUCGUCUCCCCUAGUGUGAGAGGCUGUCAGGGCAUCAUUGGCCAUGACAGCGGGCGCCCUGGAACGGGGUGGCACCCCCUCUUGGAAAUGGGACCCGGAAGCUGGGAUUUGUGCAGAGGCAUCACCACCCCCUGUCAUUUCCAAGGCUGGAUCACAGCCCAGGGUUGCUGAGGGCCAGAGCUUUGGGAACUGCUCCUUGGAGGCCAGCAGGGAGGGGACACCUGCUGUGGGGGGGAGGGGACAGAGGCUUCCGUGGCACCUGGGGGCUCAUGGAGGCUGGGCAGGUAGGUAUCAGUCUUCUCCUUGCUGUUGCAGCAUUCAUGCAGAAGGGUGUGCAUGGGGUAGGUUUCAAAUUCCGUUGAGUGUACAUCCCCAGAGUGUAUCUUUAUUGGUUAAUUUAUUUUUAUUGAAUAGGUAAAAUAUAGAUCAAUUCUGACAUUUGAUAGGCACUGAAAAAUACAAGUAGUUUCCUCCCUCCCACCCCCAUCCUCUGCCUCUCAAUCCCCUUCCUCAGAGGUGAGCAGGUUACCGGUUUCUUGUGGAUGUAGAAGAAAUAGUGCAGAUAUUAACAGAUAUACCUGUGCCUUUAUUUCCUUCAUACCUGUGGUAGAUCCCUUUUUCUUUUCCUUGCUGCAGUCUUUUUAAACCUGUAAAAUAUAUCUUGCAGUUUAGUCAAUGGAAAGAUGUUCUUGGGGGAGUUCCCUGGUGACACAGUGGGUUAAAGGCCUGGCAUCACUGCCAUGGCUCAAGUUGCUCCUGUAGAGGAGGGUUGAUCCCUGGCCUGGAAACUUCCACAUGCCGGGGGCAUGCCCCCCCUCCCCCCCCCAAAAAAAGGGUCCUCAUAUUUUAAAUGCCUUCUUGACUCAUUUCACCGUUCGGCAUAUAGGUUGCUUGUCAUCUUUUCUUGUUACCUUAACCUGCUGUUUGUACCCUGUGCCCCCUUCAUUCUGCACACGGGGGAAUGUCAGGGAAGGAUCAGUCCUUGAAGUUGAAAAGCUGGAGCAAAGAGUAUGUUUGUAAUUUUGUUAGAAAGUGCUAGGUUGUCUCCAAUGAGGUGGCUCUAUUACCCUUCCUACCAGCUAGGUCUGCGAGUGUCCAUUUACCCACAGCUUCACCAGCACUGUGCAUUUUUAAAUUUUUAAAUUUUCUUUUUUUUCUUUCUUUUUCUUUUUUCUUUUUUUCUUCUUCUUUUUUUUUUUUUCGCUUUUUAGGGCUGCAUUCAUGGCAUACGGAGAGUCCAGGCUAGGGGUCAAAUUGGAGUUAUAGCUGUCAGCCUACUCCACAGCCAUAGCAAUGCCAGAUCCGAGCUGUGUCUGUGACCUAGACCACAGCUUACGGCAACGCUGGAUCCUUAACCCCCUGAGCAAGGCCAGGGAUCGAACCUGCAACCUCGUGGUUCCUCGUCAGAUUUGUUUCUGCUGAGCCGCGAUGGGAACUCCUAAAUUCUCUACAUGGAAAAGUUUAGUGUCUUUGCUUUCAGUUGGUUUCUGAGCAGUGGUGCAGCCCCUCUGUAGGUUGGUGAUUGUUUGACGUUCCUUUUGAACUCAAGGGAGGCCUCCUUUUUGGCAUUUGAAUUUUCUGCUCGUGAUAACAUUGCCAGAGUCCAUUUCCUCAGUGCUGCCCCCCUACCCUUCCCUGCUUCUUCCCUCUCUAAACUCCUCCCCCCUUCCCCGCAUGAGUCCUGCCUCUUAUUUGCAGUUUCCCUACCUGCUCUUCUGGCUUCUCACUGUCCAGAGAUAGAGUCUUUUUAAUGAAAAGUCAGGCCAAUGUGGGCCAGUAUCUCUGGACUCCAAGCUGUGUGUCUUAGGACUCAUGCUCAAGAACGGAUUCCAGAGUAGGUUGGGGUCGGGUGGCUUGUUUCUCUCCCCCUAAGGUUUUCUAGUUGGGGAACCAAGUGCAUUCGGGGAGAUGCUCGUAGUCAGCCCAGUUCAGUAGAUCUGUGAUGAUGGAAAGCUCUCUAGUUGUGUGAUCCGGUUCAGUGGCCACUCACAUGUGGCUGGUGAGUCCUUGAGAUGUGGCUAGUGUGGCCCAGGGGCUGGGUCUUCCAUUUUCUUUGUAAUUAACUUUUAUUUAUUUAUUCAUUCAUUCAUUCAUUUAUUCAGUGCUUUUUUUAGCGCCUCACCUGCGGCAUAUGGAAGUUCCCAGGCCACAGGUCGAAUCAGAGCUACAGCUGCCGGCCUGCACCACAGCCGCAGCACCGCUGGGUCCAAGCUGUGUCUGCCACAGCAUUCGGCAAUGCCAGAUCCCCGACCCACUGAAUGAGGCCAGGGAUCAAACCUGCAUCCUCAUGGAUCCUAGUUGAAUUUGUUUCCAUGGCAUGGCACCAGGAACUCUGUAAUUAACUUAUGUUUACAUUGUUAUACGCGCCUGGUGGUACCAUAUUGGGUGGCAAAGCUCUUAGCCAUACGUUUCAGGAUGAGACGCAGAGUGUAUCUGACCUGGGUUUCCUCACGUCGGAAUACAGCUGCAGUUCUCCCUGAGGUGUUCAAGCGCGGUCAGCUGUUGCUGGACCUUCAUGUGUUUCCCUUAGUGUGGAACACACUGGGGAGGGGCCCAAUUCCACCUUGGAAUACGGGCCUUCCUUGAGGAGUCUGGCCAUCCGCACAUGUCCAUGGCUGACCCCAAGCAAAGCCCUGUGGACACAGGCGUGAACCAAGCGAGCUAGCCCUGUCCGCGUGGAGCUUCUCAUGCUUAUCCUUCAGUAAUGAGCUCGGGAGAAUGUCAGCAUCCUUGGACACUUAGAAGCCGACCUCACGGUAUCACAGAAAAGGAAGUGUAUUCGUUUCCUAUUGCCACCAACGCAGCAGCUUUAAACAACACAUCCUCUCCUAUAGAUCUGAAGGUCUGAAGUCUGAAAUGUGUCGCAAGGUUAAAAUCAACAUCCCAGGUCUGGCUCCUUCUGGAGGCUCUGGGGGGAAUCCAUUGCUCUCCUUUUCCUUCUUCUAGAAGCUCUUUUUGUGGCCCGUGGCUGCAGAUUCUAUUGUGUUCUCCCCAUUUUGCCCUCCUGUUGGCUUCCUCCCUCUUUGACCUUGUCUCCUUUUUUUUUGGCCACGGCAUGCUGGGCCACAGUGGCCAAAGCACCACAUCCUAGCCACCAAACCACCAGGGAACUCCUCCUGUCUCCUUCUUAUAAGGACCCUUGUAUUUAGGGCUCACCCAGGUAACCCAGCAGAACCUUCUCAUCGCCACACUCUUAGCUUAACUGCACCUGCCAAGUCCCUUUUGCCAUAUAAGGUAACACCUGCAAGUUCCAGGGAUGAAGAUGUGGAUCCACUUGGGGGACCAUUUUUCAGUCGGAGGGUAGCUUUCAAUACUCGAAGGAGAACACGCUUGUGUGAGAGGAGGUUGUUAACCAAGUGGGGUCCUUCCCAGGUGUUCUCAGUUGGUGGAAAUGGGCAGAACUUGGACAACUCCUGUUGAAGUUCUGAUGUUCUAAAACAGUGCAGCUCACUGUUCACAAUGGCCAAGACGUGGAAGCAACCUAGAUGUUCAUCAACAGAGGAAUGGAAAAAGAAGAUGUGGCACGUGUAUAUGAUGGAAUAUUACUCAGCCAUAAAAAGGAAUGAAAUAACACCAUUGGCAGCAACAUGGAUGGACCUAGAGAUUAUCAUACGAAAUGGAGUAAGUCAGACAAAGACAUAUAUCAUAUGGUACCACACAUGAUGCCCAUUGACAGAGGAGUGGAUAAAGAAGAUGUACAUAUACACAAUGGAAUAUUACUCAGCCAUUAAAAUGGAUGGACAUAGAAAUUAUCGUGCUAAGUGAAGUCAGUCAGUGAGACACCAACAUCAUAUGCUAUCACUUACAUGUGGAAUCUAAAAAAAGGACACAAUGAACUUCUUUGCAGAACAGAUACUGACUCACACAGACUUUGAAAAACUUAUGGUUUCCAAAUGAGACAUGUUGGGGUGUGGGGGGAUGUGCUGGGGGUUUGGAAUGGGAAUGCUAUAGAAUUGGGUUGUGAUGAUCAUUUUACAAGUAUAAAUGUGAUAAAAUUCAUUGAGUAAUUUAAAAAUAAAUACAUAAAAAUUUUAAGCAGAAAAAAAAAA